GGGGUAUGGCUCAGUGGUAGAGCACAUGCUUAGCGUGAAGGGGGUCCUGGGUUCAACCCCCAGUAUCUACA
rnacentral:tRNA from 1 species